rnacentral:rRNA from 1 species
ACGACUCUUGGCAACGGAUAUCUAGGCUCUCGCAUCGAUGAAGAACGUAGCGAAAUGCGAUACGUGGUGUGAAUUGCAGAAUCCCGCGAACCAUCGAAUCUUCGAACGCAAGUUGCGCCCGAGGCCAUCGGGCCGAGGGUACGCCUGCCUGGGCGUCAUGCU